rnacentral:rRNA from 1 species
GGGUCAGUAGGUUGGUCGUGCCACCGGUACGUACUGGUCUCACUGAUACCUCCUUCCUGAAGAGCCGUAAUGCCAUUAAUUUGGUGUUGCGGGGAAACAGGACUGUUACUUUGAAAAAAUUAGAGUGUUUAAAGCAAGCUAACGCUUGAAUACAUUAGCAUGGAAUAAUGAAAUAGGACGAUCGAUCCUAUUUUGUUGGUUUCUAGGAUUGACGUA